rnacentral:rRNA from 1 species
CUCUGUGACUCCUACGGGAGGCAGCAGUGGGGAAUAUUGCACAAUGGGCGCAAGCCUGAUGCAGCCAUGCCGCGUGUAUGAAGAAGGCCUUCGGGUUGUAAAGUACUUUCAGCAGUGAGGAAGGUGGAUAUGUUAAUAGCAUAUUCAUUUGACGUUAGCUGCAGAAGAAGCACCGGCUAACUCCGUGCCAGCAGCCGCGGUAAUACGGAGGGUGCGAGCGUUAAUCGGAAUUACUGGGCGUAAAGCGCAUGCAGGUGGUUUGUUAAGUCAGAUGUGAAAGCCCCGGGCUCAACCUCGGAAUUGCAUUUGAAACUGGCAAACUAGAGUACUGUAGAGGGGGUAGAAUUUCAGGUGUAGCGGUGAAAUGCGUAGAGAUCUGAAGGAAUACCGGUGGCGAAGGCGGCCCCCUGGACAGAUACUGACACUCAGAUGCGAAAGCGUGGGGAGCAAACAGGAUUAGAUACCCUGGUAG